rnacentral:piRNA from 1 species
UACACGUGGCCCAUUCAAUUCUCCUUUGAU